GAAGCUUUUCAAAUCAGAGCUCAAUGAGGACCUCUGCUGGUGAAAGUGCUGUUUCACAAUAUGUUCCACAACCAAACAACGUAUUAAUUUAAUUAUAAAAGCAAAACUUAAUCGAUUGACAAAUUAAGGAUAGAUUCAUAAAUAAAUGUAACACUAUAUUAAAUACAUGACCAAAGCACGUUCCAUUUCAUGCGAUUGGUACUUCAAACAAAAAUAACAAAUUAAGGAUAGACCUUGUCUCAAAAGUAUAAAGUGUGAACCAAUUAAAAAAUAUAUCAUGGUAUUAAGUGGUGCAGAAAAGGCUUUUUACUACUAAUAUAUUCUAGAUAUAUCAUAAACUCACUAUACAGUAAUCGAUUCCGUGUAAUGCAAUACUCCAAUACAACCCAUGAGGGCGCGCCGCGCAUCGCACAAUUCUAAACCUUUGAAUCAUAUAACGAAGCAGUCACGUGGGUGUGUGUGAAACGAAGCUUCGGACGUCAUUGGUCACGUGAUUUUGCCAAAACGAAUCAAGCUUCGAUACAAAGCUUCAAUGAAAAUCGGUUCGUUUUUUUGACACACGCUUCGGAGCUUCGGUGUCACUGGUAACAUCACUAAAGAAAACUAUAUUAACACAAAUAUAUAGUACAGCAAACAAAUUUGUGGGCACUCCAAAUUGCUGCUGAAACUUAUUAAAUAAACAUAGUUAAACCAAAAAUAACUGAAGUCUGUUUUAUUAUAAACGUGUGUGCGCGCGCGUGUGUGUGUGACCAAUGCCUAAUGUGUGACCGCAUCAUGACGGGCCAUCACAGUAUAAAUAUAUUUCCCAGUGUUAUUACUUUAUGCGUUUCCAAAAAAAAAAAAGGGCUUUAAUCAGGUGGUAACAUCUGUUGUUCAUCUUUUCUAUUUUUGUCUUUUAGAACUAAAACCAAAAAGCCGGAAGAAAAUCCAUGCUUUCUUGGCCAGAGCAUUGCGGGCUAUUAAAAAAGCCUGCUAUUGCUGCGGAAAUGGAAAUGAGGACAUUGUGGAGCCAUUUGAUCCUCAGGCAGGCCCAUCCGGCCUGCAUUGAAGUGCCCGUAUAGAUAAAGCUGACUUGUAGAGAGGUUCUGGUUUUAAGCAAACGUGUCAAGAACCACCCUAUUGUAGGGAUCGACCGAUAUGGAUUUUUCAGUGCCGAAACCGAUUUUUUUUUCAUCAGCCUUAGCCGAUGACCGAUACAGGGUGCCGAUUUUCUUGAGCCGAUAUUUGGAGCCGAUACUGGUUUUGCUCACUCAAUUUACAUAAAAAAAAUGGCAUGUUGUUAAAAAGAGAUGAUAUUAGUUUGCACAUUUACAUUUAUUGUAGUCUAGGACUAGUCUAAUCCCUGUCCAGGAAACCGCCCCAUAGAGAUGAAAAAAACCCACUUUUUUCAGCUAUGAUCAGCUGUUAAGCCGAGCUUUCAAUGUUGUUGUGAAAAGGUUGGUUGUUUUUAGUCACAUGACCUGCAAUCGCUUGCAGUUUCCAGCACUCUGUCUGUAAAUUAUGCCGGAAAAAUCGGCAAACACGGCAGCCAUGUAUCGGCCGAUGCCGAUACACAUAAAACUCGCAAAUAUCGGCCCGAUAUAUCAGGAAGUAGCUGAUCUGUCGGGUUCAUUGAGCCUGCGGUCAAGUGAUAGUGAUUGAAAAAUGUCAUUGCUUGAUGAAGAUUGGAGAUGGAAGAGGUGCCUUAGUAAAGUGUACGAGGGGACUCGCAAAUCUGAUGGCAAGAAGGUCACCAUCAAAUAUAUUAAGAUGUCUGGCAAGGAUAUCUACACUAAAAUGUCCUUGAGACAAACAGACCCAGUUCUGGCCACAGUGGAGGUCAACACACCAUCUACUUGCCAACCUUCAACGUGAUGCCCAGCCGAUGCCUGACCAACGACCACGUUUCAUUAUUAAUACGCUCGCUUGUAAAGUUUAUUCAAAGCCGCUGUGUUUUGCUACUUAUUUUCUACUUUAAAAACAUUACAAUAAAUGUGAUGCCUUUUAUUUUCAAUAUAAUGCAUAUUUUUAUUAAAUAUAAUAAACAAACAUAAAUAUGAAAAGCAGUUGUUUUGUUCUCUUUAUUAUCAACUUUAUUCAAUAAACAAGACAUUUGUGACAAACAGUAAGAAAGUAAACUUUACCAUUUCACAGUAGAAUCCAUAAAGCCACACAGGUCUAAGAGUUUAUGACAAAUGGUAUUUACAUCACUGCUAAAAAAAACAAUAGACACCAUCACAGAAAUUCUAUUGGUUCUAUGUAUUGGUUCUAAUGGAAUAUGGCCCAAAACACACUACAGUGUAGUGGUUUUAAUGGUAAAAGCUAAUGGUUCCUAUUGGUAUUUUAAACCAUUUGAAUUUUCUGUAAUGGUUUUAUUGUUUUUUUUUCAGCAGGGGUCAGUGUCCAAAAUUGCUUAGGCCUACUCAUUUUCUUUCUCUAUAUAGGGCACAUUGAACGGUUUCAGACACAGCCAAUUAUUUCCUGGAAGAUACAGUAGUAUUUGUCUUUCUCUGGACUGAAUAAAAUAAAUGCUUGUAAUGAUUCCAUUCAUUUUCUGUCUGAACUGUUCUUAAA